rnacentral:rRNA from 1 species
GACAGAGGAUGCAAGCGUUAUCCGGAAUGAUUGGGCGUAAAGCGUCUGUAGGUGGCUUUUUAAGUCCGCCGUCAAAUCCCAGGGCUCAACCCUGGACAGGCGGUGGAAACUACCAAGCUGGAGUACGGUAGGGGCAGAGGGAAUUUCCGGUGGAGCGGUGAAAUGCGUAGAGAUGUGGAGGAAUACCGAUGGCGAAGGCAGCCCCUGGGAUAACACUGACGCUCAUGCACGAAAGCGUGGGGAGCAACAGG